UUGGCCCUGGCUCCUUCGUCACUCCUCUGUGACAGCAGGGAGCCAAGUCAGGCCAGAGGUGUGCGUGUGGGACCACUUUGGAAUCCUUCCUCCAAACACCAUUUGGUGGCUCCCUGUCACUGCCAGAGGGUGUAUUCGGUGUCCAGCCUCCCCGGCUGGGGAGAGGCAGAGAAACCCACGCAUGCUCCCUGUGUCGUCACUCCCAGUGGGAGACACAGCAUCGCAGGAGAAGCAGCAAGAGGAUGGCGUGAGUGCCCUCUCAAGGGGGGGACCCGAUGACCCUCCAGGAUGAGAGACACCAGGAGGAGCUCAGAAAGGCUCCAGAAUUACUAAGGAGCUAAAAUUGCCUUCUUGAUAUCAUCUCAUGCUGACUGGUUACUGGGACCACACUGGAAGAAGAUGCUGGGAUGGGAAUCCCCUGAGAAAGAAUGGUCAUUGUCACAGAAAACAGUGAAGGAAGUUUCUUCCUCCCACCAAGCCAACAAUGGGUCUGAACUCCUAUGAGACUCAUAUUCAAACCAGGACUGAGAAGCAACCAUUUUGCCAUGUCCACAGGAAGCUUGCCUUGUGACACAGGAGACAGACCACUCGGGUUGAUGGUUUGGAGUCUGAAGACUGUGCCAUUUGAUGGCGGGGUGUCCCUUCUCUGGUCACUUAGCCUGAAGCUUGGAGUCCUCCUUUGAAUGUGGAGAUAUUAAUAUUUGCCCUCUCAGGGUUGACGUGGGGAUUAAGUGAGAAAUAAAGGUGAUAACACGUUGUGAACUGUAAA